ensembl:snRNA U6 U6 spliceosomal RNA
GUGCUCAUUUUGGCAGCACAUAUUCUAAAAUCAGAACAAUACAGAGAUUAGCAUGGUCCCUGAACAAGAUAACACACAAAUUCAUGAAGUAUUCAAUAUUUUU